GCUUGUCUCAAAGAUUAAGCCAUGCAUGUCUAAGUAUAAACUACUUUAUGCUGUGAAACUGCGAAUGGCUCAUUAUAUCAGUUAUAGUUUAUUUGAUGAUCCUUACUACUUGGAUAACCGUAGUAAUUCUAGAGCUAAUACAUGCAUCAAUCCCCGACUUCGGAAGGGGUGUAUAUAUUAGAUUGAAGCCAAUUUGGGUUCUCCCAAUUUUUGGUGAUUCAUAAUAUCUUUCGGAUCGAUCGCAAGAUCGAUGCAUCAUUCAAGUUUCUGCCCUAUCAGCUUUGGAUGGUAGGGUAUUGGCCUACCAUGGCUUUAACGGGUAACGGAGAAUUAGGGUUCGAUUCCGGAGAGGGAGCCUGAGAAACGGCUACCACAUCCAAGGAAGGCAGCAGG
rnacentral:rRNA from 1 species